GAUGAACGCUGGCGGCGUGCCUAAUACAUGCAAGUCGAGCGAACGGACGAGAAGCUUGCUUUUCUGAUGUUAGCGGCGGACGGGUGAGUAACACGUGGAUAACCUACUUCUAAGACUGGGAUAACUUCGGGAAACCGGAGCUAAUACCGGAUAAUAUUUUGAACCGCAUGGAUCAAAAGUGAAAGACGGUCUUGCUGUCACUUAUAGAUGGAUCCGCGCUGCAUUAGCUAGUUGGUAAGGUAACGGCUUACCAAGGCAACGAUGCAUAGCCGACCUGAGAGGGUGAUCGGCCACACUGGAACUGAGACACGGUCCAGACUCCUACGGGAGGCAGCAGUAGGGAAUAUUCCACAAUGGGCGAAAGCCUGACGGAGCAACACCGCGUGAGUGAUGAAGGUCUUCGGAUCGUAAAGCUCUGUUAUUAGGGAAGAACAGAUGUAGGAGUAACUGUGCACAUCUUGACGGUACCUAAUCAGUAAGCCACGGCUAACUACGUG
rnacentral:rRNA from 1 species